rnacentral:rRNA from 1 species
AUGGAGAAACAAGGUGGUGAAGUAUUCACAUAUGAGGUGUUCGAGAAAUUUCAAUUCCAAGUUAUCGCUGCUAGAGACCAUUGUUGUUUUCAGAGUAUUGCACAAGAUGCAGGGGUAAAAAAUGUCACCUUGAGAGGUCAAUCUGGUAAGGUUAGGGAGGUAUGCUAUGACAGUACAAGCAUGGCAGCAAAUUGUUCGUGCAAGUUGUUUGAGUCAGUUGGUAUUCCAUGUCGCCAUAUUAUCCAAGUGUUGAGGAUCGAUAACCAAAAAGAGCUUCCCAACUACUACAUUAUGAAAAGAUGGCAGAAAAGGUGCAAAAGGGAGAAUGUUUAUGAUGAACACGGGAACCUACUAGAAGAGAAGCCCACUGAUUCAUUGGGUGCGGCCAUGAGAAAUAAGAUUUCAACUGUGCGCUAUAAGAUGGAAGAGCUGAUUCAAAAGGCGAAAUACUAA